CCUACGGGAGGCAGCAGUAGGGAAUAUUGCUCAAUGGGGGAAACCCUGAAGCAGCAACGCCGCGUGGAGGAUGAAGGUUUUCGGAUUGUAAACUCCUUUUGUUAGAGAAGAUAAUGACGGUAGCUAACGAAUAAGCACCGGCUAACUCCGUUCCAGCAGCCGCGGUAAUACGGAGGGUGCAAGCGUUACUCGGAAUCACUGGGCGGAAGGAGCGCGUAGGCGGGAUAGCAAGUCAGAUGGUAAAUCCUAGGGCUUAACCAUAGAACUGCAUUUGAAACUGUUAUUCUAGAGUAUGGGAGAGUUAGCUGGAAUUCUUGGUGUAGGGGUAAAAUCCGUAGAGAUCAAGAGGAAUACUCAUUGCGAAGGCGACCUGCUAGACCAUAACUGACGCUGAUGCGCGAAAGCGUGGGGAGCAAACAGGAUUAGAUACCCGGGUAGUC
rnacentral:rRNA from 1 species